rnacentral:lncRNA from 1 species
CCUUCAAGGAAUCAAGUUAUUCUGAUCCACUAGAAAGAUGUUUGGCCCAAUUCAAUCAAGAUUAUGAGGAAGGAGAGUCGAAUCAGGGGGUUAAUGCAUUGCUAGAUUCCAUUCCUGUAAUGGAUACUAGCAGAUGGGCUGCUAAAUUUGAAUCAUUACCUAUACCUGAAUCCCAGCUAGUACCUUCAAGUGUCUAACCUCCC